rnacentral:rRNA from 1 species
CCCACACUGGUACUGAGACACGGACCAGACUCCUACGGGAGGCAGCAGUGAGGAAUAUUGGUCAAUGGGCGCAAGCCUGAACCAGCCAUGCCGCGUGCAGGAUGACGGUCCUAUGGAUUGUAAACUGCUUUUGUACGAGAAGAAACACUACUUCGUGAAGUAGCUUGACGGUAUCGUAAGAAUAAGGAUCGGCUAACUCCGUGCCAGCAGCCGCGGUAAUACGGAGGAUCCAAGCGUUAUCCGGAAUCAUUGGGUUUAAAGGGUCCGUAGGCGGUCUUAUAAGUCAGUGGUGAAAUCUCCCCGCUCAACGGGGAAACUGCCAUUGAUACUGUAGGACUUGAAUAAUUAGGAAGUAACUAGAAUA